rnacentral:rRNA from 1 species
CGUGUAGGCGGAGAUGCAAGUUGGGAGUGAAAUCCAUGGGCUCAACCCAUGAACUGCUCUCAAAACUGUAUCCCUUGAGUAUCGGAGAGGCAAGCGGAAUUCCUAGUGUAGCGGUGAAAUGCGUAGAUAUUAGGAGGAACGCCAGUGGCGAAGGCGGCUUGCUGGACGACAACUGACGCUGAGGCGCGAAGCGUGGGAGCAAACA